rnacentral:rRNA from 1 species
GGGAAGGGCGGGUGCCUAAUACAUGCAAGUCGAGCGGACAGAAGGGAGCUUGCUCCCGGAUGUUAGCGGCGGACGGGAGAGUAACACGUGGGUAACCUGCCUGUAAGACUGGGAUAACUCCGGGAAACCGGAGCUAAUACCGGAUAGUUCCUUGAACCGCAUGGUUCAAGGAUGAAAGACGGUUUCGGCUGUCACUUACAGAUGGACCCGCGGCGCAUUAGCUAGUUGGUGAGGUAACGGCUCACCAAGGCGACGAUGCGUAGCCGACCUGAGAGGGUGAUCGGCCACACUGGGACUGAGACACGGCCCAGACUCCUACGGGAGGCAGCAGUAGGGAAUCUUCCGCAAUGGACGAAAGUCUGACGGAGCAACGCCGCGUGAGUGAUGAAGGUUUUCGGAUCGUAAAGCUCUGUUGUUAGGGAAGAACAAGUGCAAGAGUAACUGCUUGCACCUUGACGGUACCUAACCAGAAAGCCACGGCUAACUACGUGCCAGCAGCCGCGGUAAUACGUAGGUGGCAAGCGUUGUCCGGAAUUAUUGGGCGUAAAGGGCUCGCAGGCGGUUUCUUAAGUCUGAUGUGAAAGCCCCCGGCUCAACCGGGGAGGGUCAUUGGAAACUGGGAAACUUGAGUGCAGAAGAGGAGAGUGGAAUUCCACGUGUAGCGGUGAAAAUGCGCAGAGAUGUGGAGGAACACCCAUUGGCCAACGCGACUCUCUCG